rnacentral:rRNA from 1 species
UACGUAGGGACCAAGCGUUGUUCGGAUUUACUGGGCGUAAAGGGCGCGUAGGCGGCAAUUCAAGUCAUCUGUGAAAUCUCCGGGCUUAACCCGGAACGGUCAGAUGAUACUGCUUUGCUAGAGUGCGGAAGGGGCAAUCGGAAUUCUUGGUGUAGCGGUGAAGUGCGUAGAUAUCAAGAGGAACACCUGAGGUGAAGACGGGUUGCUGGGCCGACACUGACGCUGACAGCGCGAAAGCCAGGGGAGCAAACGGG